rnacentral:lncRNA from 8 species
AUGAGUCUAAUUAGUAUGACAUGCUCUAACAUGUUUCACAGCAACCAGCAUACUCUCCCUUGUGGAGCACUGUCUGGAGAAUACCAGCAUACUCUCCCUUGUGGAGCACUGUCUGGAGAAUACCAGCAUACUCUCCCUUGUGGAGCACUGUCUGGAGAAUACCAGCAUACUCUCCCUUGUGGAGCACUGUCUGGAGAAUACCAGCAUACUCUCCCUUGUGGAGCACUGUCUGGAGAAUACCAGCAUACUCUCCCUUGUGGAGCACUGUCUGGAGAAUACCAGCAUACUCUCCCUUAUGGAGCACUGUCUGGAGAAUACCGGCAUACUCUCCCUUGUGGAGCACUGUCUGGAGAAUACCAGCAUACUCUCCCUUGUGGAGCACUGUCUGGAGAAUACCGGCAUACUCUCCCUUGUGGAGCACUGUCUGGAGAAUACCAGCAUACUCUCCCUUGUGGAGCACUGUCUGGAGAAUACCAGCAUACUCUCCCUUGUGGAGCACUGUCUGGAGAAUACCAGCAUACUCUCCCUUGUGGAGCACUGUCUGGAGAAUACCAGCAUACUCUCCCUUGUGGAGCACUGUCUGGAGAAUACCAGCAUACUCUCCCUUGUGGAGCACUGUCUGGAGAAUACCAGCAUACUCUCCCUUGUGGAGCACUGUCCGGAGAAUACCAGCAUACUCUCCCUUGUGGAGCACUGUCUGGAGAAUACCAGCAUACCCUCCCUUGUGGAGCACUGUCUGGAGAAUACCAGCAUACUCUCCCUUGUGGAGCACUGUUUGGAGACGUUACUGUGUCUCUGUCAGUAGAUGUAUCUGCUGUAGUGCUGUUUAUAGCCACAAGGGCGCACCAUGGUACAACUAUUUGUUUUAGCUUAUAUGAGACAGGUGGAUUCCGUAAAAUUGUGUGUGUGUGUGUGUGUGUGUGUGUGUGUGUGUGUGUGUGUGUGUGUGUGUGUGUGUGUGUGUGUGUGUGUGUGUGUGUGUGUGUGUGUGUGUGUGUGUGUGUGUGUAGGUGGGUGUCUGAGUCUGGAGGAGGUGCGGCUAAAGCAGCAGCAGGAAAUGCAGGCCAGGAGGAAGCAGAGACAGGUGAGACACACGCACACACUGAGUGGGAGAUAUUGUCAGGCUAUUGGAUGUGA